GACGAACCGUGCGAACGUUGUUCGGAAUCACUGGGCUUAAAGGGCGCGUAGGCGGGCCACCAAGUCUGGGGUGAAAUCCUUCGGCUUAACCGGAGAAUUGCCUGAGAUACUGGUGGUCUUGAGGGAGGUAGGGGCACGCGGAACUUCCGGUGGAGCGGUGAAAUGCGUUGAUAUCGGAAGGAACGCCGGUGGCGAAAGCGGCGUGCUGGCCCUCUUCUGACGCUGAGGCGCGAAAGCUAGGGUAGCAAACGGG
rnacentral:rRNA from 1 species